rnacentral:misc_RNA from 1 species
CGAAAUGCGAUAAUUAAUGUGAAUUGCAGAAUUCAGUGAAUCAUCGAGUCUUUGAACGCACAUUGCGCCCCCUGGUAUUCCGGGGGGCAUGCCUGUCCGAGCGUCAUUGCUGCCCUCAAGCACGGCUUGUGUGUUGGGCUUCCGUCCCUGGCAACGUGGACGGGCCCAAAAGGCAGUGGCGGCACCAUGUCUGGUCCUCGAGCGUAUGGGGCUUUGUCACCCGCUCCCGUAGGUCCAGCUGGCAGCUAGCCUCGCAACCAAUCUUUUUAACCAGGUUGACCUCGGAUCAGGUAGGGAUACCCGCUGAACUUAAGC